UUUCUAGGGCCACACCUGAGGCAAAUGGAAGUUCCCAGGCUAGGGAUCUAAUCGGAGCUGUAGCCACUGGCCUUCAUCAGAGCCACAGCAACACAGAAUCUGAGCCUCCUCUGUGACCUACACCACAGCUCAUGGCAACGCUGGAUCCUUAACCCACUGAGCAAGGCCAGGGAUCAAACCCGAAACCUCGAGGUUCCUAGUUAACCACUGAGCCACAACAGGAGCUCCAGCCCUCCCCUCUGUUGAAUAUUCCUCUCUCUGCCUCCUCUCCAUACUCUACCACUGUGUAUAUUCUCCUUCAAAACCCAAUUUAGAGUCCUUGGCCCCUUUCCUAACAUGAUGCCUCGUUCAUCUAAGCACAGGAGGUGCUUUUCCAUUAGACGUCUGUCAUUGCACACACAGUACCUACAUGCUUACCUCUCUCUCUGUACUGCAAGCUCUUCAAGGUUGUUAUGGUAGACAGAUUUGCAUGAAGGGCCCCACUUUUUCACAUUUUUCUAUAUCCACAACCUUGGAUAGUGCCCUCCAACACUUGGACUUGACUGUAUGUCUUAAUGCAUCUUACUGGGGGCCAGUGGAAUAGUCGCAAACUUGAUGUAAUCGGAGGCUGGAAAAGUACUUGUGUAUUUUGAUUUUCUCUUAGGUUCUGCUAGUGCAGAAUUUCCAGUCCAGGCUAAUGUGCUGAAGGAGGAGACUGCUUCGAGUAAAACCAAGUCAUUGUAAACAAAGCCAACCUGUAUGGUCCAGCCCCUAGCUGACCCAAGAACUGACUUCACAAGCACUGUUUGGGGGCAAUUUGUUACGCAGCAAUACCUGACGUGAUUAGACAUGAUGUCUCAUACAACUUUUUACUCUAGUACAUUAACCAUGUGCUCAACAUAGAGUGAGUGGCCCAUAAAUACAUGUUGAACUGAGAAGCAUAGAAAAAUAUGGAAGGAAAAUUCCAGUCCACUGCAAAGCAUUUUUUCCUUUCCUCUCUUGCCACCAAACAUCAUAACUGUGCCCCCACUUUCUCACUUACUUUUACCUCUGGGAUCUCAAGAGCUAAGACGGUAGGGGUGGCUGUGGGAAUUCCAGCGUGCACGGUGUGGUUUGAAAUCCACAGACAAGAGAGCAUGGCUUCCUUCCUUGGCCUGCUGCCCCACGCGCGGCCAGCAAAGCAGCCAAGCCAAAGUGGCAGCCGCAGUGUGGGAGCCCAGCUUUGCUGCCAUAAAUUACCCAGGGGCAGGAAGGAGCAGAGAGAGUCGGUGGUUUCAACUACCUAGUAGUUCAUUUUUGUUCUUGUUUUUCAGUUAGCAAUCUGUAAAAUUUAUUGCAAAAUUAAGCUCCCUGCUCCAGAGUCAAUAAUAUUCCUGGUGCCAGGUGGUGUAAUAAUUCACAAAAAGGGCAGGAGUUGGAGGGAGUGAGACUGAUUUAGGAAGUGGACUUCCAAGCCCUAUUUGCUGCUGCCUACUCCCUGCUGCUAAAGGUCAGGUAAGUGGAGGGCUAAGAUUACAGCCUCAUAAUAUCCUUGGAGGGCUAGAAUUUCUAUUGGGUUUGAAAUGUAAAACAAAAACUGUUUCUUUUGCAUGAUGGAUUCCUUUUAUCCUUCCCACCUCUGUUUCCAUUUUAGCCUAAAAAUAGAAAAAUUCAAUUUCAUAUUUUGUUUCUGGCUUCUCACAGAAGAGGUACCCAAAAAAGCUUGGCCCUGUGCAAGCCCCCUAUGGUACUCUAUGAACUGGAAGAAGUUAUGGAGAUUGCUCUUAUUGCAAUGUCUUCAUUUACAGAUGUAAACACCAAGUCUCAGUGUAAUUAAUGAAUUUAUGUCUUGCCCAGCUACCUACCUGGAAUAGAACUGAGAUCAGAUGUCCAGGUUGUACACGGUCUCACUCAAUAUUCUGCUACAGAGAGGACUUCUAUUUAUCAUUUCAGUCUUUCUCAAAUCUAUAUAAUGUCUUUAAAAAUUGUCUCUUCAUCUCCUAUUGGUUUUUUUUUUUUUUUUUUUGGUGUGCGUAUGUGAAAUGAUCACCAAGAUGAGUUUAGUUGUUGUUAUUAUAAUAAGUUUUUAUUAAGUCCUAUUAUUUCUUAAAGAGUCCAAAUUAUAUGUCUGAUUACCCCCAAAGCCAUCCAGCCACAUUUACAUUCCAGCUGGAAGGCACCAGAUGUUAUCAUUAAUUUGCUUUUAGUUAAUUAUCUUUAUAAAAUAACUCCUUGAAAGACAAUGAUUGAAAUGGUCUGUCUGGUUAUUCUUCCAUGGUCUCUUCCUUGAAAUGCCCACAAAAUCAUCCUUGCAAUCUGGGGCACGAGCUUAAGAUUUCUUAGAGGACAUUUAGGAGUUGGGAAUUAAACUCUCCAAGUGUCUAUUCAUUUCCUGAUCAAUAUUCCAUGUGCAUUUUUAGAAAAAAAUAGGUGGAAUUUCUUUCUUUAAGUCCUCAGUGCUUCUUUAUUGGCUGUUGGAACCUUAGUUCCUGCUUAGGGCUGGCUAUAAGGCUUAGAUUAGAAGGAAUUGCUUUGAUGUUUUUCAAAGUCAAGAAAGAAUUUUACACCUCUCUGAGUAUCCCUUGACUGCAGGUAAAGAAUGUACCUCUCUGGAGAGGUACCAAUUAAAGUUAAUUGUAUAUGACCUGGUUGAUCCAGGAGUGCUUAGAGUUUCUAAUUGAAUUUGCUAUUGUCUUCAUAAAACGAAGAUUUGGUUUAGUUGCAAGUUGUGGAUUGGAGGACUGGAUGCAUUCUCUAUCUGAACACAAUGAUACUGUCAAUAUAAUGACCUAAAGGAGCUUGUGCAAAUCCACCUUCAUCACAGAAUUCCUGCUCUGUUACCCUUGCAAAUCAAGAAUGGUUUAGGAGAGCUGUUUCUCAGCUUCUGGGAGGGAAUGCCAGUUCCAUCUCUCAAGAGCUGAUGCUUUUCCUCAGUUCUCAUAAGGGGGAUAGAAUCUUUUGUAACUUGACCUGAGACUGGGCAAGAAGAGCCUGGCUUUAAACUUCACCAGGACCUUGAAACUCAGCCCAAGCUGAUUAAAACUCAUGCGUAUGUGGUUCUUUUCAAGUAAACUAAUUGUGUUAUGUUGUGGAUGGAAACCAUGAAAAAUGGGUGUUUUGAGAAUCUCCAUCUGGGGAUGAAUUUCACUUUGAAGAUGAUUAAACAUCUGUACUAUUCUGAGAUUUAGGUAAAAACUCAAAUGAAUGACCAAUUGGAAAACAAAUUAAAUAGAUAUAGUUAAGUAGUCAGUAAAAUGGAUAUACAUUCUGGUGACGUUUAUUCUGAUCUAAGAAUAAUCUAUGAAAUAGAAUGCCUCAACAAAUGGAAGUUCCCAGG
ensembl:lncRNA